rnacentral:lncRNA from 1 species
AAAGAAACUAAGGAAGAAGGCAAGAUUUGAAGGGUUGGUCCUUGAAGCAAGAUUGUUCUAUGACAUCAUAGAUGAAGGGAGAAGGUGUGAAGAGGCAUGAAUGGGAUCCAAACACAUGCUUAUGUCUGAUUUGGCAGCUACUCAUAUCCUUCAAUUCACCACUGCCUUUAAGGAUCUGAAGGUUCUUUCACUAUGGGAAUUUUAAGAAAGAAGAAAAAGUACGUGUCUAAAGGAUUUCAAAUGAGGGUGACACAUAGAAGAUAUGGAAGUUCUCCAGAGAACAGAUGGGAAGUGACUGGAUCUCUGGUAUGUGGACAUUACUAGACUAGAUGCUCUCUUGUCUGGGUAAAGAAAGCAAUUGCAAAAGAGAUUGUGUGAAGGCCUUGUCUGUAUG